rnacentral:rRNA from 1 species
GGCCCUACGGGGUGCAGCAGGCGAGAAACCUUUGCAAUGUGCGAAAGCACGACAAGGUUAAUCCGAGUGUCUCCUGCUAAAGGAGUCUUUUGUCAGUUUAGAAUCACU